UACGAAGGGGGCUAGCGUUGCUCGGAAUUACUGGGCGUAAAGGGCGCGUAGGCGGACCUGCAAGUCGGGGGUGAAAGCCCGAGGCUCAACCUCGGAACUGCCUUCGAUACUGCGGGUCUCGAGUCCGGGAGAGGUGAGUGGAAUUCCUAGUGUAGAGGUGAAAUUCGUAGAUAUUAGGAAGAACACCAGUGGCGAAGGCGGCUAACUGGUCCAGCACUGACGCUGAGGUGCGAAAGCGUGGGGAGCAAACAGG
rnacentral:rRNA from 1 species